AUGCAAGUCGGACGGGACUCAUUCGGUAGUAAUACUGGAUGAGUUUAGUGGCGGACGGGUGAGUAAUGCAUGGGUAACGUACCCCAGGCACAGGGAUAGCGGUGCGAAAGCGCCGGUAAUACCUGGUGAUAUCCGGGAGUCGCAUGGCUUCUGGAUCAUAGGUGGGGACCUUCGGGCCUACUGGCCUGGGAUCGGCCCAUGUCCUAUCAGCUUGUUGGUGGGGUAAUGGCCUACCAAGGCGAAGACGGGUAGCCGGCGUGAGAGCGCGACCGGCCACAUCGGGACUGAGACACUGCCCGGACACCUACGGGUGGCUGCAGCAACGAAUAUUCCGCAAUGGGCGCAAGCCUGACGGAGCGACGCCGCGUGGAGGAUGAAGUCUUUCGGGAUGUAAACUUCAAUAGUUCGUCAGGAAGCAAAGGGACCUAAUACGUCCCGGCGUUGACCAGCGAACGAAAGGGGCGGCUAACUCCGUGCCAGCAGCCGCGGUAAGACGGAGGCCCCUAGCGUUGUUCGGAAUCACUGGGCUUAAAGAGGGUGUAGGCGGAGCAGCAAGUACUUUGUGAAAGCCCCGGGCUCAACCCGGGAAUUGCUUGGUAUACUGUUGCUCUUGAGGCAGGUAGGGGUCACUGGAACCUUAGGUGGAGCGGUGAAAUGCGUAGAUAUCUAAGGGAAACGCCUGUGGCGAAAGCGGGUGACUGGGCCUGUCCUGACGCUGAGACCCGAAAGCGUACGGAGCAAACAGGAUUAGAUACCCUGGUAGUCUACGCCGUAAACG
rnacentral:rRNA from 1 species